rnacentral:tRNA from 1 species
GCCGAUGUGCUGGAAUUGGCAGACAGGAAGGUCUCAAACACCUUUGCUCUCGUAGCAUGUGGGUUCGAGCCCCACCAUCGGUACCA